rnacentral:rRNA from 1 species
UACGGAAGGCAGCAGUGGGGAAUAUUGCACAAUGGGCGCAAGCCUGAUGCAGCCAUGCCGCGUGUAUGAAGAAGGCCUUCGGGUUGUAAAGUACUUUCAGUCGCGAGGAAGGUGUUAAGGUUAAUAACCUUAGCAAUUGACGUUAGCGACAGAAGAAGCACCGGCUAACUCCGUGCCGGCAGCCGCGGUAAUACGGAGGGUGCGAGCGUUAAUCGGAAUUACUGGGCGUAAAGGGCACGCAGGCGGUUAAUUAAGUUGGAUGUGAAAUCCCCGGGCUUAACCUGGGAAUGGCAUUCAAGACUGGUUAGCUAGAGUCUUGUAGAGGGGGUAGAAUUCCAUGUGUAGCGGUGAAAUGCGUAGAGAUGUGGAGGAAUACCGGUGGCGAAGGCGGCCCCUGGACAAAGGCUGACGCUCAUGUGCGAAAGCGUGGGGAGCAAACAGGGAUUAGAUACC